rnacentral:rRNA from 1 species
UACGUAGGGGGCAAGCGUUGUCCGGAAUCAUUGGGCGUAAAGCGCGUGUAGGCGGCUUGGUAAGUCCGCUCUGAAAGCCCGGGGCUCAACCCCGGGAGGCGGGUGGAUACUGUCAAGCUCGAGUCCGGAAGAGGCGAGUGGAAUUCCUGGUGUAGCGGUGAAAUGCGCAGAUAUCAGGAAGAACACCGGUGGCGAAGGCGGCUCGCUAGGACGGUACUGACGCUGAGACGCGAAAGCGUGGGGAGCGAACAGG